rnacentral:lncRNA from 10 species
CCCGCUUUGAGCCUUGAGAAACAAGAAACCCAGACCUCAGGAAAAAAAUAAAAUAGAAAAAAAAAGAGAAAGAGAUAAGAAAACUAGAACAUGAGACAGAGUGGAGCAACGCCAGGCAAGGAAGCCGAGGCUCCAAGGCUCAGAAGUGUUAGUAACUUGCUGGCAGCGGCUAUGUUGGUCUUACAUAUCAACUUGAUUAGGCCACGGUGCCCAGUUGUUUGACCAAACAAUGUGCUAAGAAGGUGUUUUUUUUUUUUUUUUUUUUUUUUUUUUUUUUUUUUGAGAUGAAGUCUCGCUUUUGUUCCCCAGGCUGGAGUGCAAUGGCGCGAUCUCAGCUCACUGCAACUUCUGCCUCCCGGGUUCAAGCGAUUCUCCUGCCUCAGCCCCCCGAGUAGCUGGGAUUACAGGCGCCCAGCUAGUUUUUUUUGGUAUUUUUAGUAGAGAUGGGGUUUCACCAUGUUGGCUGGGCUGGUCUUGAAUUCCUGACCUCAGGUGAUCCACCCACCUUGGCCUCCCAAAGUGCUGGGAUUACAGGCAUGAGCCACUGUGCCCGGCCACUAAGAAGAUAUUUUUUAGAUGCAAUUAACAUUUAAAUCAGAAGACUUUGAGUAAAGCAGAUUACCCUCCAUAAUGUGAGUGGCCCUCAUCCAACAACUGAAGGCCUUAAGAAAAAAGACUGAGUGCCUACCGUGGCCCCACUGUGGAACAGGAAAUUCUGCCUCCAGGCUGCCUUUGGACUUGAGCUGCAACAUCAACUUCCCCGGCUCUCCAGCCUGCCUGCCUUUCAAAAUUUGGACUUGCCACUCCAACAACUGUGUGAACCAAUUCGUUAAAACACAUCUCUUUCUUUCAACACACACACACACACACACACACAGGUUCUCCUUCUCUGGAGAACCCUGACUAAUACAGUGACAGAGCAAGAAUUAUAACCUAGAACCAUGCAAUUCCUGGAGCUGAGCUCUUAACCUCGGCAUCUCACUACUACGCAUACCUACAUGUUCAGUACCGCUAAUCAAUAACAUUAUUAUGAUGAACAAGAAGACACAGUCACUGCUGAGGAGGCACCAUGUCAUUAUCCAAAUGUUUGGAUUCAGUGUAAACACUAGCCCUCUCACCCAGAGAGUAAAGUAUCAGUUUCACCAUCUUUGAUGACAAGUUCAGCAAAUAGACACUAUUGACCUUAUUCACAUCAUUUGUGGCUGAGAGCUCUCCUGCAUAUCUAGCCUCCAAUGCUGGGAGAAUGCCGUUGUCAUGGCUGUGAAGACAGCCAGGAGGCGCCCGAUUGGUCUAUUUACUUUGCUGGCAGAGCUCACAGGCAAACAAGCACCCAGCAGCUUCUGAAGUCAGGCCAAAUUCUGCAGGGAUUUGAGGCUGGGUUACUGAGCAGCCUCUUUACUUCUGCUGUCCUGUUUGCCUGAACUGUGGGCUCCUUGGGACAGGCACUCAGCCUUGUCCACCACUGUAUGGCCAGCCCUGGGCACAGUGCUGGGCCCAGCCUGAUGCCCACCAAGUGCUUGCCAAGUGAGGAGGUGCUGAGGCCAGGAGGAAGGACACUUUAUCUUCCUCUUUCUCAAGGGUGAUUGGGAUGGAUGUCACUGAAGCAGGAGGGAUGAGAAUGGGAAUGGGAGGUGAAUCCUGGCUCUAGCUGUCUCUACUCCUACACGCCCAGGGGACCCUGGCAAGUGGGUUUCUGGUAACCUCAGUUUCCUUGUUGAUGGGAAGGUCUGUCCUGCCUGGCUGGGGGGAGGGUGAGAAGGUGCAUGGCAGGUGUUGAGCUCAAUAUCUGCACUGAGAGUCAGUGCUGAACUGCUGAGGAGGGUGGUCAGGGGUGACUGUGGAGCCUUCCUGCUGUUUCAGGGCUCAAAGCUGUGCGCUGUCCUUAUGGGUCCCUCAGGGGACUCCCGAGGCCAAAGUAAUAACUCAUGGGGAUGGGGCAGAGAACUAGCAGGUGCUGAGACCUGCGAUGUGUCACAUACCCCCACUGACUCUCACCUGGCUGGCCCUCAGGCUGGGUAGGACACAGC